GAACAGCUAGUUUAUUUAAAACAUUUGAUUUCGACUCAAAAACUUGUGGUUAACACCGCAGCUGUUUA
rnacentral:tRNA from 1 species